rnacentral:rRNA from 1 species
AUUGAACGCUGGCGGCAGGCUUAACACAUGCAAGUCGAGCGGAGAUGAGGUGCUUGCACCUUAUCUUAGCGGCGGACGGGUGAGUAAUACUUAGGAAUCUGCCUAUUAGUGGGGGACAACAUUCCGAAAGGAAUGCUAAUACCGCAUACGCCCUACGGGGGAAAGCAGGGGAUCUUCGGACCUUGCGCUAAUAGAUGAGCCUAAGUCGGAUUAGCUAGUUGGUGGGGUAAAGGCCUACCAAGGCGACGAUCUGUAGCGGGUCUGAGAGGAUGAUCCGCCACACUGGGACUGAGACACGGCCCAGACUCCUACGGGAGGCAGCAGUGGGGAAUAUUGGACAAUGGGCGGAAGCCUGAUCCAGCCAUGCCGCGUGUGUGAAGAAGGCCUUUUGGUUGUAAAGCACUUUAAGCGAGGAGGAGGCUACCUGGAUUAAUACUCUAGGUUAGUGGACGUUACUCGCAGAAUAAGCACCGGCUAACUCUGUGCCAGCAGCCGCCGUAAUAC